rnacentral:rRNA from 1 species
GAUGAACGCUAGCGGGAGGCUUAAUACAUGCAAGUCGAGGGGUAACAGGUUCUUCGGAACGCUGACGACCGGCGCACGGGUGAGUAACGCGUACGGAACUGCCUUAUACUGGAGGACACACACUGGAAACAGAGUAAAUACUCCAUAGUCUCGCAAGAGUAAAGCUCCGGCGGAUAAGGAUGGGUAUGCGUCCUAUUAGUUAGUUGGUGAGGUAACGGCUCACCAAGACAGCGAUAGGUAGGGGGUCUGAGAGGAUUAUCCCCCACACUGGUACUGAGACACGGACCAGACUCCUACGGGAGGCAGCAGUGAGGAAUAUUGGGCAAUGGACGAAAGUCUGACCCAGCCAUGCCGCGUGCAGGAAGACGGCCCUACGGGUUGUAAACUGCUUUUGUAUAGGAAGAAACCCCUUUACGUGUAGAGGGCUGACGGUACUAUACGAAUAAGCACCGGCUAACUCCG